UACGUAGGUGGCAAGCGUUGUCCGGAAUUAUUGGGCGUAAAGAGCUCGUAGGCGGUUUGUCGCGUCUGCUGUGAAAACCCGAGGCUCAACCUCGGGCCUGCAGUGGGUACGGGCAGACUAGAGUGCGGUAGGGGAGAUUGGAAUUCCUGGUGUAGCGGUGGAAUGCGCAGAUAUCAGGAGGAACACCGAUGGCGAAGGCAGAUCUCUGGGCCGUAACUGACGCUGAGGAGCGAAAGCAUGGGGAGCGAACAGG
rnacentral:rRNA from 1 species